rnacentral:rRNA from 1 species
AGACCCCGUGAACCUUUACUAUAGCUUGACACUGAACAUUGAGCCUUGAUGUGUAGGAUAGGUGGGAGGCUUUGAAGUGUGGACGCCAGUCUGCAUGGAGCCGACCUUGAAAUACCACCCUUUAAUGUUUGAUGUUCUAACGUGGACCCGUUACCCGGGUUGCGGACAGUGUCUGGUGGGUAGUUUGACUGGGGCGGUCUCCUCCUAAAGAGUAACGGAGGAGCACGAAGG